CUUAGCAGGAAAAACCCUUGGCUUUGGGGUUGUUCCAAACUUCUGAGUGAUGAUUUCUGCUGACAUAACGAUAAAUCCUUCAAAUCCGCUCAAACAUUUUUGAGACCCAUGCUCCACCGUUUUUGUCUAUCGAACAUGAGAUGUGCGGAAAAAGAAGAGACAGUAAAUCAGGAUCGGUCUCACCUGCAGCCAGCCUCCAUAAAACUGAAGGAGGGAGUUGAGCUCCACUAGUUUUAUGAGUGAAGUCAAACAUUUCCAGCCUAUAAAGCCCCGUCUUGCUGCUGGAAAGAAGCCAGGGCAUGUGUCGGUGUUUACUUCACAUGCACCGGGUCGCAUGCUCCUUUCACGCUGAUGUCAGAUUGGCACGACACAUGUGUCUGCCGAGAGGACGUGCCCUGUCACUUCAGGUGUGUCAUGCUUCCCAUAUGCCAUGGAUAUCUGAAUCUCGGCCAAUCAGACGCCACCCCACUGACCUUCUCCGGAGCUAUGAGCAUGAUGGGAGUUGAAGGCCGGAGCUGGUGGCACACUGAAUGUGAGAGACUCUUCUGAAGGAGGAGAAUGGGAAGAGGCGGGGGGCCAUAGGGUCGAGGUCUCGCCCUGAUACGAUCGCAGGUUCGGGUUAGAUGCUGUUUUUGUUGGGACGGCACCCUGCCCCCAUCCCUCGACAUCUCUCGCACCCCUCCUUCGCUAGCUGUCGGUGCGUGCUCGGCUGGCCUGGGUGUGGAUUUACAUGGCUGUUAAUUAGAGUGGAAGAAGUGAUUGGCUGCUGGAUGCAUUGUGGUAAAGAGUGCACAGAUGCAGCCACGCUGGCGAGAGUAACGCAGGCAGGCAUGGUGCAUCAGCCCACGUCACACUGCUGCAGCUCAGCCGAGCCCUACCCUGUCUAACACGAUUUGCAGAGUGUCACCACCGUCACACCGCUCCUGUACCGCAAUACCCCUCCCUCUAUUCUCUUUUACCCCUUCCUCA